CAGCAGCCGCGGUAAUACCGGCGGCCCGAGUGGCGGCCACUAUUAUUGGGCUUAAAGCGUCCGUAGCCGGGUUGGUUAGUCUCCCGGGAAAUCUGGCCGCUUAACGGUCAGAAUUCCGGGAGAUACUGCCAGCCUAGGGACCGGGAGAGGCCGAGGGUAUUCCCGGAGUAGGGGUGAAAUCCUAUAAUCCCGGGAGGACCACCUGUGGCGAAGGCGCUCGGCUGGAACGGGUCCGACGGUGAGGGACGAAGGCCAGGGGAGCAAACCGGAUUAGAUACCCGGGUAGUCCUGGCUGUAAACGAUGCGGACGUUGUGUCGGACAAGCUAUGAGCUUGUCCGGUGCCGGAGGGAAACCGUUAAGUCCGCCGCCUGGGGAGUACGGCCGCAAGGCUGAAACUUAAAGGAAUUGGCGGG
rnacentral:rRNA from 1 species